rnacentral:rRNA from 1 species
UGGCCAGACUCCUACGGGAGGCAGCAGUGGGGAAUAUUGCACAAUGGGGGAAACCCUGAUGCAGCAACGCCGCGUGAAGGAAGACGGUUUUCGGAUUGUAAACUUCUGUUCUUAGUGAAGAAGAAUGACGGUAGCUAAGGAGCAAGCCACGGCUAACUACGUGCCAGCAGCCGCGGUAAUACGUAGGUGGCAAGCGUUGUCCGGAAUUACUGGGUGUAAAGGGAGCGUAGACGGCAAUGCAAGUCCGGAGUGGAAUGCGGCAGCUCAACUGCCGAACUGCUCUGGAAACUGUAUGGCUUGAGUGCAGGAGGGGUAAGCGGAAUUCCUAGUGUAGCGGUGAAAUGCGUAGAUAUUAGGAGGAACACCAGUGGCGAAGGCGGCUUACUGGACGGCAACUGACGCUGAGACUCGAAAGCGUGGGGAGCAAACAGGAUUAGAUACCCUCGUA